rnacentral:rRNA from 1 species
GACGAACGCUGGCGGCGUGCUUAACACAUGCAAGUCGAACGGAAAGGCCCUGCUUGCAGGGUACUCGAGUGGCGAACGGGUGAGUAACACGUGGGUGAUCUGCCCUGCACUUCGGGAUAAGCCUGGGAAACUGGGUCUAAUACCGGAUAGGAGCCAUUUUUAGUGUGAUGGUUGGAAAGUUUUUUCGGUGUAGGAUGAGCUCGCGGCCUAUCAGCUUGUUGGUGGGGUAAUGGCCUACCAAGGGGGCGACGGGUAGCCGGCCUGAGAGGGUGGACGGCCACAUUGGGACUGAGAGACGGCCCAGACUCCUACGGGAGGCAGCAGUGGGGAAUAUUGCACAAUGGGCGCAAGCCUGAGGCAGCGACGCCGCGUGGGGAAUGACGGCCUUCGGGUUGUAAACUCCUUUCGCUAGGGACGAAGCUUUUUGUGACGGUACCUAGAUAAGAAGCACCGGCUAACUACGUG